rnacentral:rRNA from 1 species
AUACGGAGGACGCGAGCGUUAUCCGGAUUCAUUGGGUUUAAAGGGUGCGCAGGCGGCCGUGCAAGUCAGCGGUGAAAGCCCGGGGCUCAACCCCGGAAGUGCCGUUGAUACUGCAUGGCUGGAAUGCGGUCGGGGCGGGCGGAACGUGGCGUGUAGCGGUGAAAUGCGUAGAUAUGCCACAGAACGCCGAUAGCGGAGGCAGCUCGCCAGGCCUGCAUUGACGCUCGGGCACGAAAGCGUGGGGAUCGAACAGGAUUAGAUACCCUGGUAGUCCACGCCGUAAACGAUGGGCGCUCGUCGUCGGCGGCAGACAGUCGGCGGCCAAGCGAAAGCGAUAAGCGCCCCACCUGGGGAGUACGGUCGCAAGGCUGAAACUCAAAUGAAUUGGCGGGG